rnacentral:rRNA from 1 species
AACGCGAAGAACCUUACCAGGCCUUGACAUGCAUCUCUAAGUUGGUGAAAGCCAGCGAGUCCCGAAAGGGACAAUUUGCACAGGUGCUGCAUGGCUGUCGUCAGCUCGUGUCGUGAGAUGUUGGGUUAAGUCCCGCAACGAGCGCAACCCUCGUCCUAUAUUGCCAGCAACCGCUUCGGCGGGUUGGGGACUUGCGGGAGACUGCCGGGGUCAACUCGGAGGAAGGUGGGGACGACGUCAAAUCAUCAUGCCCCUUAUGUCCUGGGCUGCACGCAUGCUACAAUGGCCGGUACAGAGGGCUGCGAUGCCGUGAGGCGGAGCGAAUCCCGGAAAGCCGGUCUCAGUUCGGAUCGGGGUCUGCAACUCGACCCCGUGAAGUCGGAGUCGCUAGUAAUCGCAGAUCAGCAACGCUGCGGUGAAUACGUUCCCGGGUCUUGUACACACGC